GUUUGGUUUACUUUAGUAUUAAUCUACAAUGCAGACAAAAUAAUACAAAAAUACUUUAUUUAAGGUGUGUCCAAACUUUUGUCUGGUACUGUAUAUUAAUAAAAAUAAAUUCAAGAAAAUAUAUUAAGAUCCCCUGCUUUAUAUCAGUUCUGUAGUUUCAGGUUUGUUACAGACAGUCCCUCAUAUCGUGUUGUGGACCUGCGUGAAGUGGUAAUAAAACAGGGAAUGAACAGCAGAUUUAUGGAAACUUUGUUGGAGAUUGUCAAAUGCUGCCGUGUUAAGUGUUUUUAUCAGCAGGGUGAAGAAAGCUUUGAUUCACUUCAAGGGCUGGUGUUAUCACUGCAGAUUGAAAUGCUCUCUCUGUCCCUCUCUCUAAAGGAGUUCUGUGACAGGGAUACAUAAUCAGCCACUGGCAGAGCUUUCAUUAAAACCUUCAGGAAUAAUGUCGACUUCUUCAUCGGAUCUGUCCGGUUCGUCGGUUGACGCAAAGCAAACUGUCCCAUCAUCCAGCAGCAGAGCUCCUGAGGGACCCCAUCCACACAGCCCGACUCUGCUGGUAAUGAAGCCUGUCAUCCCCCUCACAUCCUCCAGCAGGCCCACGCCGGACACGGCUCCAGCUCAGAACAGGUCCUCCAUUGAUUCAGUGCUAUAUUCCAAACCAGCUCUGUAUCUCCCUCAGAACCUCUUGGCCAUUUUCAGCCCUCUUCACAUGUCCACUCUUUACUCGACUUGUUAGAGCCUUUACUACAGAGAGCCUCCUGACAGAAAUGUGGCUGUUACAGCUGAUACAAUUUAAAAGAUGAAAUCUUAAAUGAUGCCAGUCUUUGUCCCCUCGCUUCAAGUGAAUUGUUAAGAUGUCUCAUAAGCAUAAACCCAGCUUUUGUGAAUGCUCUAAAAAUAUCAAUGAGCACUCCUCAUCUAGAAAUCUGUUACGCCCCAAAGAAAGUGUAAAAUUGCAAUGCUUUUAGAAAGAAGAUAAGGGUUAAACAGCAAUUGAUUAAUAAUUUAGACUGAUUUGGGCAGUAUUUAAGCUACAUAUACAGAAGCAACAUAAUGUCAGACAGCAGCAUAAACUUGGAGAGGUUCCUAAUUAUGUCUGCAAUAAUUAAUUCUAUGCAGCUUUAAACUUCACGCAGUUCCUGCAGAUUUUGCAGUAGG
rnacentral:lncRNA from 1 species